UUUGCCUGCCAUGUUGGGUUUCAUCCUCAACAGCACAAAGAAGAGGAGAGAUGGAGCAGUGACUGCCACUUAGGCUUGUACCAGGUGAUAUUCAGAGGCACAGCCUUUGCCCAUUUUACAGAUGGAGAUUCAAAGGUUCUCAGAGACAGGCACAGUAUUUCCAGCAGAGCAGCAGAAGCAACGCCAGGAGCAACAGGAGGAAGAUGAGCAGGGGGAUGAGCCACCAGAAGGAGCCGGGAGGGCAGUCUGCAGGGACUGUGCUGUUGGGCCCAGGGCUGCCAUCGCCCUCCACGUUGUAGCUGUAAGUGCAGUCGUCAUCCUCAUCCCGGAAGGAGCAGUACUCCACCACCUCUUCUGCUAAAUCCACAGACUGUUAGCACGGCACCCUGACCCAGCCCUCCACUCGGGGCAUCCCGGGGCCUGGAGAGGUAUUACCUCCUCCGUGGCCUACGGGAAAGAGCGUAAGUCCCCUGACUAGAGAAGUCACCAGGAUGAAGGGACUGCCCUGCCCAGGGCUGGCACCACUAACAGGCUCGUCUGAAAGUUCAUCGCCCCCCCCCCCACUUCCCUGCUCCGCACACUAUCAUAAGUAUAGUGUCCAGACAGCAGAGCUGACUUAGAAGGAGACAAAUAAUAUCCUGUCAUCCAACAGCACGCCGCACCUGGGCCCCUCAACUGUGCUGUGGGCCUGCCCUAUCGCUUACUCAUCUGACCCCUCACUCCCAGCUACACGGACUCUCCUUUCCUCUCGGCUCUCGAUCCGACUUUGUACCUGUACUAGGCUUCCCCUGUCUAGGUCCUGAGGCAUCUCACAGCUCCGCUCACAAACGCAGUCCGGGAUGCAUAGCCUCAACUCAGAGUUCAAGCCUUUUCCCGUCCUCCAUGCUGGGUUCUUCCUGCCUAGACUCAGCACUGUCUCUCAGACCCCUUACCCCCUCCCUCCCCCGGAGAUCUCACUCAUGCUGUACUGAACUCUCUAAGUAGACAGAGAUCUACCUGCUGCUGUCUCCCAAGUGCUGGUAUUAAGGCUGUAGGGUAUCACGCUGCCGCCCCUACCUUUCUUAAGCUCGUCUACCAUCUUGACUUUAAAGGGGCAAUCGUCACACGCGCGCCCUUUCUUCUCCCCGGUGCCCCAGGCCUGGCACUGUACGCAGGAGCGGAGAUCCUCACAGAGACCCAGGCGUAUCUGGGGAGAGGAGAACAGACACUAUGCUGGGUGGACCCAACUCCCUUUCCCUAGUGCGCUCAGCCAGCGUCUCCUUCCCAGCCACCGCAGUUCCUGGGGUUCCCAUGCCCACACCCCAGGAGCCCUUGCCUCACCGCAGAGUAGUUGAUCUCACAGGUGGUGUCCGUGUAGAGCGACUGCUGGUUGCAGUGACAACGGCCACACUCACAGUAGCCUCGGCCGUUGCAGAUGCCCUGGGGUUGGGGAGUCAGCAGUGAGCCAGCAGAGCUCUAUCCUUGCCUGCCCUCGCUACCGUCUAUACCACCUGCCCUGUGCUCAGGCCUUACCCCGUUGCUAUCGAUGCAGGUGGCAUUGCUGAGGGGACAGUCACAGCUGCGGCCUGUCCAACCAGGCUCACACACACACUCUCCCAUAGAACAGCGACCCCGGUCUGUAAAGAGAGGAAGGGACAGAAGAGUAGAACCACAUUCCUAUAUGCCAUUCAAGAUGGCCACCCACCCGUUACAGUGGGCCUCUGGGAGCUCUGUGGUAGAAGCUGCCCCUCAGUUUUCUGGAAUCUUCUUCCCUCUGUCCUGCCUUCUUCUGAGGGCAGAGUGACCACCCCCAAACACAAAUCCAUUCCUGUGAUUAACUUGUUCAAGGAUCUCUAUUGGAAUAAUAAGCUGGAAAAAGGUACAGAUAUGAAUAAAUAAGAAAUCAAGGGUGGGGCAGUGGUGUCGCACUCGUUUAAUCCCAGCACUUGGGAGGCAGAGGCAGGUGGAUUUCUGAGUUGGAGGCCAGCAUGGUCUAUAGAGUGAGUUCCAGGACAACCAGGGCUACACAGAGAAACCCUGUCUUGAAAAAUCAAAAAUAAAUAAAUAAAUAAAAUAAAAAUAAAAAAUAAAUAAAAAUC
rnacentral:lncRNA from 1 species